GGAAAGAUGGUAGAGUGGUUUAUUACAUCGGUCUUGAAAACCGAGAAAGUUUAUUCUUUCCAGGGUUCGAAUCCCUGUCUUUCCA
rnacentral:tRNA from 1 species